UAUAUACUCCUUCCGUUCCGAAUUACUUGUCUCAGUUAUGGAUAUAUCUAGAUAUAUUUUAGUUUUAGAUACAUCCAUUUCUGUGACGAAUAAUUUGGAACGGAGGGAGUACGAC
rfam:Triticum aestivum genome assembly, contig: Triticum_aestivum_CS42_TGACv1_scaffold_487497_6AS